rnacentral:antisense_RNA from 7 species
UCCUUUCACCAUAGGGUGCCUGAAGGGUGGCUGAUGCCUAUGGUACAAUGGCACCCACUAGAAAGCAGCUACAAUUAGGAGUGAAUGUGUCCUCGAGUAACAAGAAGUGUAAUCUCUGGCCCAGCGAUUGUUUUCUGCUGCUCGUACUGGUGCCUGACUACUUUUCUCUCGUUAACUAUUUUUUUACAACCAUGAUUGACACCCAUUAUUUGCUCCUAUUUUAUAUCCCUGGUUUUCGUGGUUGAUAGUGAACAGGAUUAUUUUUAAAUGGUGCUGCCAAAACCAGUUAAUAGUGCACAUGGAUUUUUAGCAAGAGGGCUACUUGGAACAGACUGAACCAGGCGUUGGAUUCCUGAAAAUGUUUGGGGUUUUUUUUUUUUUUUUUUUUUUUUUUUUUUUGGGGGGGUUUUUUGUUUUGUUUUUUAAAUUGAAGGCUAAAGUUUUUGAAAAAACUUUGUUGGACUCUGGCUGGGACACAAAAUCAGAUAUUUGGAAUCAUUUUGAAGCUUAACUUUUUCCUAACCAGCCUUGUAUUCUAAUUGCUUGCAAAUGUGAGACUGAAUGGCCAAAAUGCCGUUUGUUUGUUUGUUUAUUGUCAGCUGCUUUUAUCAAAUUCCAGGCCAUUAUCCAGCAAACACUAUUAAAAUGUUUGAACAGUUGGGUUUCAAACAUUUUUGUUUUGUGGAGUGGUGCUUAUUAAGUGGUACAGCUCUCUAAGCAAGUGAACACAAACAUAUUUAAGUGUAUUUUGUAUGAUUAGAUGUUACCAAUUCUGAUAUUUUAUUCAAAUGUCUAAAAAAAUAAGUUGACUUAUUCCCUUUACCAAAGGGCCAGAGACAAAUGGUUUCCUUUCAAGAGAAAUGACUGUUUUGAAGAAAAACUCUGUUGGUCUUAGCUCUUUUGUAAUUAAAUCUGGAUGUACCUCAAAAGACUCUUUAAGACUGUGGUGUUAAAAGGCUUUCCUCUGGAGAAGGAGAAAAAAUAAAAUCAACUGGAACUUAAAAGCUUGAAAUUCCAUGACAAAACACAGAUGUCCAGGAUUGGAGGUUCAUAAAGUACAUGCAGUAGUUGGAGUGGAUUCCAUUUUCAGUGUAGCUGCCACCAUGGACUCCAGGCUCCCAGAUUUUCAAGAACUGGACCUGUGACCCAGAAGAGCUUGUCAAGAUAUGACAGGAACUCUGGAGGUGGACGUUUUGUAUUCAAUUUUGGAACUGUUGAUCUUGCCGUGAGAAAAGAGAGACACGACUCACCAAGCACUGCCACCAGCACUGUCACUGGGAACUUGAAGAUCCAAGUUUCUGUCCAGAACCUCAGUGCAAACUGACAACACUCCAUCCAAAGUGAACUACGGUACUUGCCAUUUUCCAAAAUGCCUUUUCAUUUCUGCACUUUUGCUAUUCAUACUCUCUACCCUGGAAAUGCACUUCUGUGAUUCUUCACCUGGCAGAUCUCUGCAAUUUCAUAAAACUAAGAUGCUCUCUAACCCUGUAACUCUCUUAAUAUUAAAAAGAACAUCUUUAGGAUAACUUUAAUCUCUUAUAUGCAGAGUCUGGUUCAUCACAUGCAUUUGGUUAUUUGUUUGUUUGUUUUCCAUAUAGCAAACACUGAAAGAGUCUUGGUUUUAUGUAUCUUUGCCCAAAAAUACCAUCAUUUCUAGUGAAGCCUUUUGAAAAGCAGGGACCCUUAAUCCUCAGUGUAUGUAUAAUUGCUACAUUAUAAUUAACAUUACUCUAGAUAUAUGAGUUGAUUAGAUUUCAUGUUUUCUUAAUCCUAGAUUUAAAAAAAAAAAAAAAAAACUAGGAAACCGUAUGACCUAAAAAGAAACUGAAUCAAAUUGUUAUAGUUGAGAAUGGGGACCAACCAAGGCAAUAUACUGUCUUGCUCAAAAUAGAACUUGUUAAUGUAAAAGUUAGGGCAGUGUUUAAAGGACAAGAGCAUUAAGAUGGCACCAGGAAAGUUAAAGGAAAAAUUAAUAUAUUACCUAGAUAUCAUUUUUUUGUGUGUGUGCCAAUUGUGAAAACUUUUCCUCCCUACCAACUAUAAUGUCCAACCUAAUAGUUGUAGGACUAGAAACCCCCAUUAUGAUAUAUAUAUAUGAGCACACAUUAAUGCCCCGGUGUAGCACUCUUAAGGCAUUUUCUAUUUGUUGCAUCCCUGAGACAGUUAACUUUGCCAGGGAACUUUUUGCAUUUGUUCAUCCAGCUUUUACUCUUUUGCAAAUCCUCUCUUUUAGCAAUUUCUCUUAUCACCAUCUAAGCCAGGCUUGUGAAUACCUAUCACACAGUAGAUAUGCUGACAGCAGACCCCCAUCCCAGUGUUAGACUCCUCUGUUUAUAAUUCCAUGUGUUUGUUACCUUACCUGUUUUUUCCCUGCCCCUUCUAGUCCCGUGCCUCCUGAUUGCUGAAUGUUCACCUGGACCUGCCAAUGACCUUCCUUCUGCUACUCCAUCAGCCUACAGACCUGGUACUUGGAUUUUUGUCCAUGGUGAUUCCUUCCACCUUACUACUGAAGAAGACACCAUUCCAGUGGACCACUGUGACCCAAGAAGCAUUCAGCCAUCAUGAUGUGGCCUUUACCUCCACUCCUGUCCUACUCUGCCCAGAUUCAGCACAGCCCUUUAUAGUGCAGUCAAGAGUCUUCAAGCCAAAUAACUGAAGCUAUUUUAUCACAACAAAGGCCAGGUUUAUUCCAUAAAUGUACAGUUCAUUUCUGCAGUUUAUUCUUCAGAGACACAUAGUAAAUUUGGACCAGGGGAUUUUGUUUUGUUUAUAUUGUCAACACUGUCUGAAGAAAGGCAUCUCUGAGAACAGCAUUGGACCCUACUCCACAAUCUCAAAUGAUUGAAGUUUCAUAAACUGCCUAGGAUCCUGUCAAGGCCACUGGACUCUUGUUCUUUUCCUACUUCAAAAUCUGUAGCUGUCUACUAAAUGACAAAGCAGAUAUUCUGACCCAUUGGGAUCAAAACCAAGGCAUUUUGAAUUCCUCAUAGUAUCAUCUUCGGGUUACUCAGGAACCAAAACUUUUCACACCAAUUUAAGAAAUUCUACUGAGGAAUCCCUUUACCUAACCAUCUCACAAGGCUUCAACCAGAUUCCUGAAAAGGCCUCUUGAUAUAUCAAGAUAGAACCUACAUGCAUUUUGUGAACAACUUAUCACUGAUUUUCCAAAGGCUUUGUGCUCUUGAAGUUCUUUGAAGGAAAGCUGUGUGGAAGUCCAGAGUAAAGUGAAGCUGCUCUGGAUGAAGUAGUGAAGUGGGAGUUGAGGUCUACAACCUGCCACAACCAUCUUCCUUUACCACCAUGGUGAUGCCAAAAGGGACUUCCUUAAAGCUCUUCAGAAAAUCCUGCUUGAAACCACUACCCUAGACAACAUGUUUGACCUGGAUGGCAUUCUCUUCAAAACAAUUCAUAUUCAGUUGAUGCUCAACAUGUUUGGAGAUGCUUUAUUCAGAGAAUGAUGAUAAUUACAGCAUUGUCUAAUGAAGUUUUAUUAAUAGCAUUCCAUCCAAGGUGGACUUCCUGGAGUUGGAUAUAACCAGAGAGCAAUUCAUAUGUAUCCUACACUGAAGAACACCAUUAACUUUCAGCAACCUAUAGCUAGUGGUACUAGAAGUACGUGUCUUGGAAGUCUAUGAGAGCUGGUAUUGAAGCUGAUGCCUCCUUAAGGCCAUCUUAGACCAAGUUGUUUGUUUGACCUCUCCUCAUUAACUAUGGAGCAGAAUUGAAAUACAAAUUUUUCCUAAAGGGACUUGCAACCUGGUUAUCAUUCAUUAUCUCAAGUUUCAAGUCAUGUUGAUGCAACCAGUAGUUAUUAAACUGCUCCAUGGUUUUUUGUUAUUUAAUACUUUUUCCA